UACGUAGGUGGCAAGCGUUGUCCGGAUUUACUGGGCGUAAAGGGCGCGUAGGCGGCUACUUAAGUGGGAUGUGAAAUACCUGGGCUUAACUUGGGUGCUGCAUUCCAAACUGGGUGUCUAGAGUGUUGGAGAGGAAAGUGGAAUUCCUAGUGUAGCGGUGAAAUGCGUAGAGAUUAGGAAGAACACCAGUGGCGAAGGCGACUUUCUGGACAAUAACUGACGCUGAGGCUCGAAAGCGUGGGGAGCAAACAGG
rnacentral:rRNA from 1 species